GCCGGGGUGGCUCGGUCGGGUAAGCGUCUGACUUCGGCUCAGGUCAUGAUCUCAUGGUUCGUGGGUUCAAGCCCCGCAUCUGGCU
rnacentral:tRNA from 1 species